GAGAGCGAGGCGGGCGGGAAAUCCCCUCUUGUCAGUGUCAGCGGCGCCGGGCGGUAGCACUCUGCGAGGCGGGUGAUGCACAGGAUGUGUCGCACAGGGCGGCAGGGGCGAAGGAAGCCGGUUGGCGUGAGGUUGUCAAGAACACGGAGCAUAGCUCCGCCUCCUGAGAUCCAUGAAGCCACUCCCUGUGUUCUGAUUGGCCCGCAUCUAUCUCAAUAUUAAAGUAAUGGUGACCAUCGAUGGUCAAAACCAUCAAAGGUUCUCUAA